AUUAUUUUUCUUAAGUUACUGUGAGUGUAUAAAGGGUGCUCAAUGUGUUGGCUAACCUAAUUGGAUGUCAGAUUGUCUGUCAACGGAUUCUGUGAGUGUUAUUGGUUGGGUUUUGGAUUUUAAUCCAAUCACAACAUUAGAGGGCGGGACAAUUGAAAAAAGUGUGUGCGUGUCGAACAGGCUACGUACAGAAGCUGGAAGCGUGGUUCAAGUUUCGGCUUGAUUUAUAUUCUCUGACGGUGGUGGAUGCAGAGUUCGCCAAAGGAGUUCAGAGCAUAUGAAAUGCUGCUGAAGGAGCAGGACCAGGACGCGCUCUUGGGGUAUUCCUGUGGGCAUCAGACGGAGAUCCAGAAAGUUCCCGCUGGGACCCGGGUUGUGUUCAGUCAACAUUGAACAAGAGUCCAGUUCCAGUUUGGGUCAAGUUCCUUUCCCUCACUCAUUUCCAAGUCAAUACACCAGAAUCCGCACUGACUGAACCAGGAGGUUGUGAGUACAAAAAAAAAAAAACACUGCACGUGCUUAUUUUGUUUUGCUUUCUAAGUGAAGCGGUCAAUACGUUUUAGACCUCAACGCUCCCGAGCGACGACACAGGCCUGCAACGGGUAUUUUGUUUAUUUAAAAAGGGACAUUUUUUGAGUUUGUAAGUGUUUUUAUUUUCCCAUUUUCUUGUGGAUUUGUGAACUAAGAUUCAUACUUUGUUUUUGAUUUUUGUAUUUGUUUUAAUAACUAAAUUUUCAGUUUAUUUAAACGACA